GGGCGUGUAGUUCAGCUGGCUAGAACGCACGGUUCACAUCCGUGAGGUCAGAGGUUCAACUCCUCUCACGCCCA
rnacentral:tRNA from 1 species